rnacentral:rRNA from 1 species
AUUGAACGCUGGCGGCAGGCCUAACACAUGCAAGUCGAACGAGUGGCGGACGGGUGAGAAAUGUCUGGGAAACUGCCUGAUGGCGGGGGAUAACUCCUGGAAACGGUAGCUAAUACCGCAUACCAUCCGAUUUGCCCAGAUGGGAUUAGCUGGUUGGUGGGGUAACGGCUCACCAAGGCGACGAUCCCUAGCUGGUCUGAGAGGAUGACCAGCCACACUGGAACUGAGACACGGUCCAGACUCCUACGGGAGGCAGCAGUGGGGAAUAUUGCACAAUGGGCGCAAGCCUGAUGCAGCCAUGCCGCGUGUAUGAAGAAGGCCUUCGGGUUGUAAAGCACUGUCAUCGGGGAGGCGGUACCCGCAGAAGAAGCACCGGCUAACUCCGUGCCAGCAGCCGCGGUAAUAC